GUUUUUGUAAGUGUCAAGUGCGUAUUUAAUUCUGUACUGCUUGGUUAUGGUAUUUUUGGCCAAGUUCGACAGUUUUAGCCAGGCUGGGGAAAUGGGUUAAGCCAAUUGUGUCUUUUUCAGGUAUAGAUGUUUAUGAUUUUUAGCUGGGAUUUUGGCCUAGUGUAAUGGGGUCAUUGGUGCAAGAGUUUUUAUGGCUUUUAUUAGCCGACAUGCAG
rnacentral:misc_RNA from 1 species